GCAAACUUGGUCAUUUAGAGGAAGUAAAAGUCGUAACAAGGUUUCCGUAGGUGAACCUGCGGAAGGAUCAUUAAUGAAUUCACUAUGGAGUUGUUGCUGGCCUCUAGGGGCAUGUGCACGCUUCACUAGUCUUUCAACCACCUGUGAACUUUUGAUAGAUCUGUGAAGUCGUCCUUCAAGUCGUCAGACUUGGUUUGCUGGGAUUUAAACGUCUCGGUGUGACAACGCAGUCUAUUUACUUAACACACCCCAAAUGUAUGUCUACGAAUGUCAUUUAAUGGGCCUUGUGCCUAUAAACCAUAAUACAACUUUCAACAACGGAUCUCUUGGCUCUCGCAUCGAUGAAGAACGCAGC
rnacentral:misc_RNA from 1 species